UAAAUCAGAGUAAAUGUAAUCUGUUCCAAAUGGCUGUCAUUCAGCUGGUACAUUGUAUUCAGCAAUGUGCUGCAAUAUACCUUUGCUUUGUAGGGUAAAAGAUGUUUCUUUGUUUACAUUUUGUCACACCCCCUGCAAAGGAUAAAAAGCCCUGAAGAUCAUGGAAAACAUUGCAGCAAAAGCUUCUCAAAGGUCUCAUUACAGAUUUAUUGUAAUAGUUGGCUUUCUGGGCAUGCAAAGAGUUCUUGAACACAAAAUCAGGGGAACUAAGAUAAGAAUUUCUCAAUCUUUCCAUGCAAGCACUGUUAAAUUUCCAGCAGAUAUGGUCCACCACUUCUGUUAUGGAAAAGAGCUUGCUUUUGUGCUUUUCAAAUAUCCAACAAAGCUAAAUACUUAUUCUUCUCCGGAUUGAAAAAUAUCAGAAUAAAUAAAGGAUAAAGCGAAAGUGAGAGAAUGAACGAAGGAGUUGGCAUUUGGGGGAGAAGAAAGAAGCAGUGUAGGUGGGAGGGAAAUGAAAGAAAAAAAGGUUGAGUGGGUUGCAAAAGAACAGUUAGGUGAAUUGUGAGAAGAGAAACUAUCACUAAGGAAAAUCAAGAGUGCAAGAAUAGAACAGCUUAAGUUAAAUAAAUACACUGCUGCUUGAGCUCUCAAUCUUUCAGGGAACAUUACUUAAGCGCUUCUGAACAAAAGUUCUUUGAGGCCCCAUCCUACUGUUUGUUUCUUCCAGAGCUAUUCUCGCAGUUCAUUUACAACAGGACUCGAAUGCUGAUGAUGACAUCUUCUGAACUGGUACUGUGUAUACAGUGGUUCUUGGUAUACCAACUCCUGAAAAAAAAACACAACUCUCCCUCCAAUGUUUAUCAGGAUGAGAUCUGAUGAGUUCAGAAGCUGCUGGAGUUCUUAUGAGUGGUAACAAACCUGACAGUUUUUGCUUUUACCAGAGUAUGCUUCAGUUCACUUCAUUACAGCCAGACCUCCACAUUUUGAGUGACAUAAAGUAUUGACUCCUCUAGCGAGGAUCUGUUAGUGAAAUUGGUACAUCAAUACUUACUUUCCUAACAAGCAGAGGAUCUUCUAAAGAUGAUUAAGAAUGCUUAAUCUGCCACAUACAGAUGAUACCGUUAAAAUCAAUACAAUUUAGCAUGUGCUUUAUUCUUAUUUAUGAUAAACUUAAUCAUGUCCUUAUCAGUUUCGAUAGAAGCUAAGUGAUACCAGUUAUAUGAUACUACACUGGUUCUUACAGGCUUUCUGCAUUUUUUUCUUUUUAAAUACAUUUUUAAUCUAUAAACACUUCUGGAAAGUUGCUUGGUUUUCACAAAUCAGUUUUAUUAGAAUUUGUUUUAUUUAUAGGUAUAUUUAACCUCGUUUAUUACUUUCAGUUAGAGCACACUCUUGGUUCCUUUAAACCAUUUCUCUAGAAAACAGCAACUUCCAGGCACAAAAGAAUAAAGACAAGAAAUGGACCAGGGGGGGGUAAAACAAAGGAAAACAAAUUAAUAGUAGGGUCUGAAGUUACUAAAUCUCUUGUAAUGUGAGGAGAAAAGUAGUAUGACCAAUAUCAUUAACUUCUGAAGGUCUUGAAUGUCUUCAGAACUUUUUUUUUUUUUCCCCAGAAGUAUCUUUCUGUAAGAUGCUAAGUGGUAGGAAUGAGAAAGAUACCUGCUCCCAUCUUGCUUCUGUUCUACUUUUGAGAAGGAGUCUCUUCUUGGUACAGAUGACUGCAGUGAUAAAUUUGCUUUAGAAAUUUGUGAUCCUCUCACAUAAAUGUUGUAUCAGAACCUUUAACAAGAUCAACAUACUCAAUGUCAUUAGAGAUUCCUUAUAAAACAUACAUUUGUUUUGACUUACUAGCCUUAUCGCAGCUCUCAAAACCUUUCUUCUACCUAAAGAAUAUCUGCAACAAUGUUCCUGUUAUGAAAGAGCCUUCAAUUCUCUUGAUAUAAUUAGGUAAGUUUAUUUGGCUUUUUGUUUAGCUAAAAGGACAGGAAUCAAGAUGGCACAGUCACUGUAUUUCAUUAUUUCCCACAUCAUUAACUUUUGUGCUACUUAGAACUUUACUAAAAGAAAUUUCUAAACAGUUGUCCAUCAAAAAAGACAGUUCAGCUAGAUAUUUUCUAAGAGUUUUACUGAUGUAAUCCUGAAAAAGUGAAGUACCUGCAUUCUUUUACUGUAUUUCUGAAAC
ensembl:lncRNA